rnacentral:lncRNA from 1 species
UUCUUCACCACAAAUCCAAAUCCAAAUUCAAAUCCAAAUCUAAAUCUAAUACAUCAUCUUGUUCACCACAAAUCUAAAUCUAAUUCAUCAUAGUAGUCGAAACUAACCAAAAUCUAAAUCUAAUUCAUCUUCAAUUUUUCACCACAAAUCUAAAUUCAAAAUAAAAAUGGUGUAAUUUUGAACACCGUCUGAUAUAUAUACGCAUGCUGCUAUCAAAUUUUUCGAUGAUUGAGCAGAGAAAAAAUAAGAGCUAAAGCUGCCCCCGAUCAGUUCAGUCGACGAGUCCCUAUUCAUUCAUAUCUUUAUCGCAGAUCCAAAGAAACUUAAGUGCAGAUCCAAAGCAACUAAGUUCUAAAACUCUAACAACCAUGAUCCAAAGAAAGCCAAGUUCAGAUUUGAAAAAAUCACUAUAUCACCAGAUCCGGGGUUGCUUGAUUGUGGGGGCUUCAUGUCUGAAUUAGUAGGGGGCUUCAUGGUUCUUGUUCGGAUUUCAGUGAUUUGGUCCUGCCGAAAUCUUCCUUUUGUUCUGGUGUGAUUGUACCGAUCUGGGUGUUAUGACCUUCAUUGCUUAUCUAUUAAAAUUUUCAGAUUAGGUUGUUCCGAUUUCUUGCUUUUUGUGUUUCGAUCUGGGUUUUAUGUGUUUCGUAUUGCUUAUCUUUUUCCAUGUUCAGAUUUGGAGUUUUAUGGCUGAAAAAUCUAGCAAACAAGCACCUAAUCCUUUGUAUCCACAUAUUCCGAGCUAUUUGAUUUUGAAAUGAAAGAGGAAAAACAGAAGAUUAAUGAAUCAAAACACCUUCUUAGUUAUGGUUUGAACCUAUGCCAAAGUAUACAUCAAAUCGAUUUUAUAAGAAUUUUUAUAUUUAAGCCUAGAUUUAAUG